GACAGAGGUCCCGAGCGUUAGGCGGAAUCACUGGGCUUAAAGCGUGUGUAGGCGGCGGCCUAAGUACCUUGUGAAAUCCCACGGCUCACCUGUGGAACUGCUCGGUAUACUGGGUCGCUUGAGCCACUUAGGGGCUACCGGAACAAAUGGUGGAGCGGUGAAAUGCGUAGAUAUCUGGAGGAACACCGGUGGCGAAGGCGGCAUCCUGGACCAACACUGACGCUGAGUGAGCGAAAGCCAGGGGAGCAAACGGG
rnacentral:rRNA from 1 species